AUUGAACGCUGGCGGCAUGCUUUACACAUGCAAGUCGAACGGUAACAGGCCUUCGGGUGCUGACGAGUGGCGAACGGGUGAGUAAUGCAUCGGAACGUGCCCAGAGGUGGGGGAUAACGCAGCGAAAGCUGUGCCAAUACCGCAUGUGAUCUGAGGAUGAAAGCGGGGGACCAAGCAGCAAUGUUUGGCCUCGCGCCUCUGGAGCGGCCGAUGUCAGAUUAGGUAGUUGGUGGGGUAAAGGCCUACCAAGCCGACGAUCUGUAGCUGGUCUGAGAGGACGACCAGCCACACUGGGACUGAGACACGGCCCAGACUCCUACGGGAGGCAGCAGUGGGGAAUUUUGGACAAUGGGCGCAAGCCUGAUCCAGCAAUGCCGCGUGCGGGAAGAAGGCCUUCGGGUUGUAAACCGCUUUUGUACGGAACGAAAAGGCUCUGGCUAAUACCUGGGGCUGAUGACGGUACCGUAAGAAUAAGCACCGGCUAACUACGUG
rnacentral:rRNA from 1 species